AAUAGAUACCCAGGUAGUCCACGCCGUAAACGAUGAGUGCUAAGUGUUAGAGGGUUUCCGCCCUUUAGUGCUGCAGCUAACGCAUUAAGCACUCCGCCUGGGGAGUACGGUCGCAAGACUGAAACUCAAAGGAAUUGACGGGGGCCCGCACAAGCGGUGGAGCAUGUGGUUUAAUUCGAAGCAACGCGAAGAACCUUACCAGGUCUUGACAUCCUCUGACAACUCUAGAGAUAGAGCAUUCCCCUUCGGGGGACAGAGUGACAGGUGGUGCAUGGUUGUCGUCAGCUCGUGUCGUGAGAUGUUGGGUUAAGUCCCGCAACGAGCGCAACCCUUGAUCUUAGUUGCCAGCAUUCAGUUGGGCACUCUAAGGUGACUGCCGGUGACAAACCGGAGGAAGGUGGGGAUGACGUCAAAUCAUCAUGCCCCUUAUGACCUGGGCUACACACGUGCUACAAUGGAUGGUACAAAGGGCUGCAAGACCGCGAGGUCAAGCCAAUCCCAUAAAACCAUUCUCAGUUCGGAGUUG
rnacentral:rRNA from 1 species